CCUACGGGUGGCAGCAGUGGGGAAUAUUGGACAAUGGGGGCAACCCUGAUCCAGCCAUGCCGCGUGUGUGAAGAAGGCCCUCGGGUUGUAAAGCACUUUCAGUGAGGAAGAACGCCUGGUGGUUAAUACCCAUCAGUAAAGACAUCACUCACAGAAGAAGCACCGGCUAACUCCGUGCCAGCAGCCGCGGUAAUACGGAGGGUGCGAGCGUUAAUCGGAAUUACUGGGCGUAAAGCGCGCGUAGGUGGCUUGAUAAGCCGGUUGUGAAAGCCCCGGGCUCAACCUGGGAACGGCAUCCGGAACUGUCAAGCUAGAGUGCAGGAGAGGAAGGUAGAAUUCCCGGUGUAGCGGUGAAAUGCGUAGAGAUCGGGAGGAAUACCAGUGGCGAAGGCGGCCUUCUGGACUGACACUGACACUGAGGUGCGAAAGCGUGGGUAGCAAACAGGAUUAGAUACCCUUGUAGUC
rnacentral:rRNA from 1 species